AUUGAACGCUGGCGGCAUGCCUUACACAUGCAAGUCGAACGGCAGCACGGGUGCUUGCACCUGGUGGCGAGUGGCGAACGGGUGAGUAAUACAUCGGAACAUGUCCUGUAGUGGGGGAUAGCCCGGCGAAAGCCGGAUUAAUACCGCAUACGAUCUACGGAUGAAAGCGGGGGACCUUCGGGCCUCGCGCUAUAGGGUUGGCCGAUGGCUGAUUAGCUAGUUGGUGGGGUAAAGGCCUACCAGGGCGACGAUCAGUAGCUGGUCUGAGAGGACGACAGGCCACACGAGGACUGAGACACGGCCCAGACUCCUACGGGAGGCAGCAGUGGGGAAUGGUGGACAAUGGGCGAAAGCCUGAUCCAGCAAUGCCGCGUGUGUGAAGAAGGCCUUCGGGUUGUAAAGCACUUUUGUCCGGAAAGAAAUCCUUGGCCCUAAUACGGUCGGGGGAUGACGGUACCGGAAGAAGAAGCACCGGCUAACUACGUG
rnacentral:rRNA from 1 species